CCAACUACAAGUCCACAUCGGCACAUCUUAGCUGAAGCCUGUUUGUGGCUGUGAGUCUCGAAUAGAUCACCUUCUUGGCUUCCACUACAGAAACUAGACCGCAAUAAGUUGAGAAAACGGUGCCCCACUACAGAAACUAGACCACAAUAAGAUGAGAAAACGGUGCCCCAGUAUUGUCCUACAAGAGAAAAUUAGAGUGUACCACGGUACCAGAGAACCACGGGCAAGUGUUUGCUAGUGGUUCUUCCCCUCGGUUUCCUGAGAAACUAUUGAUAAAUAGGCGUUGGAGCCUACCGUUUGUUUCCGAAGACCAAUGGAGAAGGAGUUGCUUCCCUUUCCUCUCCUGCCAUGGCUCCUCCUCACAUGCUUCUCUCCAUUCUUUGUUCAUUCUAUGGAAUUGAGUACCUCUGCAUGCUCAAGUUCCAACAUCUCUAUCCCUUAUCCUUUUGGUGUCCAUGGCCAGAGCCCCUCCCCAGCUCAAGGGUUCGAGAUCAAUUGUACUUCAUCUGGCCCUAGGCUUCCCAUAGGCAACAACUCAAUUAGUAUUCUCAACAUCUCCCUGCUGGAUGGUUAUGUGACCAUCCUGGCUAGUGCCGCUUCCCGUUCCCCGCAGUGCAGAGGGAACUUUGCUAGCUUCAGCCUUGAGGGGACAAACUUCACCUUCUCCGAUACAAGGAACAAGUUCACCGCUGUCGGCUGUAAUAUGGUGGCCAUGCUGGUGAAUGGUACCAGUGGUGGUUACAGCGGUGGCUGCGCUUCUUUUUGCUCUAAUAAUAGCAUCGUCGAUGGUGCUUGCUCUGGUGUGGCUUGCUGCCAAGCACCGGUGCCAAAGGGGUUGAAGAAGCUGUAUUCAGAUUUCACAAACAUAAACAUAACUGCCAGCCUCAGCAAGUAUACUUCAGCAUGUGCUGAGGCGUUCAUCGUGGAGCAGAACUCCUAUGCUUUCGCUACUGCUGACCUGAAGAUCCUGAACAACUCAAAUAAAAGCCCUCCUCAAUACCGGCAUGUUGUUCUUGAGUGGUCCAUAGAUGGUGGCAGCUGUGAGGAGGCAAGCCGCUCUGCAUCAUAUGCUUGCAAGGAGAAUUCUUACUGCUAUAACUCGUCUAAUGGGAUUGGAUAUCGCUGCAAUUGUACCAACGGGUUUCAGGGGAACCCAUACCUGCAAGGGCCUGGUGGAUGCCAAGGUAACGAACACGUAUGUGCUUAUAUUUUCUGACUUUAUUUGUUUCCUCAGUUUUUGUUUUCCAGCUUAAUAAUCGGCAAGAACUACCCAUAUCUGAUAUCUGUUUGGUUCCAUGUGACUGUCGGCAAGAUAUCGAUGAGUGCUUCCUUGGAAAUCCAUGCACACAUAGCUGCAUCAACGUGAAGGGCGGUUUCAACUGUACUUGCCCAUCAGGGAUGAGUGGUAAUGGCCGAAAGGAUGGAAGUGGCUGCAAUGGAAUUGGCACGCUGCAGAUUUCAAUAGUUGUGGGACUAGCUCUGCUACUGCUUCUCCUUGUUUUCAGUUUCUGGACUCACUGUCUUGUUAAGAGGAGAAAGCUUGCGAAGAAAAGACAGAGAUAUUUUAUGCAGAAUGGUGGUGUCUUACUGAAGCAGCAGAUGCUUUCUCGGAAGGCACCGCUGCGGAUAUUUACCUCAGGUGAGCUUGACAAGGCAACCAACAAAUUCAGCGAUAACAAUGUUGUUGGCAGAGGUGGAUUCGGGACAGUCUACAAAGGUAUAUUAUCAGAUCAAACGGUUGUAGCAGUCAAAAGGUCGCAGCGGGUUGAUCAGAGCCAGGUGGAGCAAUUCGUGAAUGAGCUGGUCAUUCUUUCACAAGUGACCCACAAGAAUGUGGUUCAGCUACUAGGCUGCUGUCUCGAGGCAGAAGUUCCCUUAUUGGUCUAUGAAUUUAUCACCAACGGGGCCCUUUUUCAUCAUCUUCACAAUACAUCAAUCCCGAUGUCGUGGGAGGACCGCCUGAGGAUUGCAGUUGAAACUGCAUCGGCACUUGCAUAUUUGCACCUAGCUGCAAAGACGCCAAUCGUCCACAGAGACGUCAAGUCAUCGAACAUACUUCUUGACACAAGCUUCACCGCAAAGGUGUCCGAUUUCGGCGCGUCAAGGCCGAUACCCCGCGAUCAGACCCAUGUGACGACCUUGGUGCAGGGCACACUAGGGUACAUGGACCCUGAGUACUUCCAGACAAGCCAGCUGACCGAGAAAAGCGACGUCUACAGCUUCGGUGUGGUGCUCAUCGAGCUACUGACAAGGGAGAAACCAAUAUGUGGCGGACAGAUGGACGAGGUGAGAAGCCUAGCGAUGCAUUUUAGCACGAUGUUCCAUCAGAACCAGUUGCUGAAGAUUGUAGACUCUCAAGUGGCCGAGGAAGCUGGAAUGCGGCAUGUCAAAACGGUCUCGCAGCUGGCUUUGCGAUGCUUGAGGCUGAGAGGUGAAGAGAGGCCGAGGAUGAUUGAGGUUGCGGUUGAACUUGAAGCGCUGAGAAGACUGAUGAAACAACACUCUGUUCUGAAGAGUGAAGAAGAAGAGCCUCUACUUCCUCUGCUUCGAGACUUGAGCUGCCGCGGGGAGAUGAAUUUCGAUGCGCAGUUGAGUUCGAGCCAUGAUGGAAUUGCCAAGGAUGAAAGUAUGGAGAUCAUUCUACUCCCGUCCGGCGACCUCUCAUGUUAGGUCUUUCAUAGUAAUGAUCUGUUCAAUUGUGUUUAGCUGCUAGUCGUAGAAACUCAUAGUAGGGUUAUACCAGGGAACUGUUGGCUAGUUUUUUUCUUUCUCCAUAUCUAUCUAGUACACCCCUAUUUUCGACCUGUUUGUAGGUCAAGAAAUGACUCAGCUAAAUUUACACCACUGGGAUUUCAUUUUCACCGAAACUUGAGAUACGAAUCAUUCUGAAGUCUUGCGUUCCUUGUAAAAUUUCUGUGUGACAUACAGAGUUUUUCAUUUGCAGAGGGGUAAGUUCCCAUGAAUUAGGCGUGACAAAUGUGUGAGAAGACGGCACCUGUCCUGUAUGCAUCCAAAAAUGAACCAAAUUCGUCCUGGAUGAACAUACAUUUUCAUUUUGACGGGCGGUUGGUACUUGGCGCUAUCAUGGCAGACCGAGGCGGCGACGACGGAGAGAAGACGGCACGCGC
rnacentral:rRNA from 1 species